GGGGGUGUGGCUCCGUGGUGGAGCACUUGCCUAGCAUGCAUGAGGCCCUGGGUUCAAUUCCCAGCUCCACAA
rnacentral:tRNA from 1 species